UAAACUGGAAGAGAUGGCCAAGUAUGUAAUAAUGUUAAAUAAUGGACCUGACUCCUUAGACAAGAUUCUCCAGACUGGACAAAUAACAGGAGACAAAUCUGGCAUUGGGUUUAAUGAAUCUAAGCCUGAGUGCAGUUACACUGGUGGCAAACCUAAACUUAAGUGCAGCCAUAUUAAAAGCAAACCUGAGAUGUCACAUCAUAUGUCAUAACAUCAGAAGGGAAGACAGCAGAAAGGGAAACACCAAAGAUGGAG
rnacentral:lncRNA from 1 species